AUUGAACGCUGGCGGCAGGCCUAACACAUGCAAGUCGAGCGAGCGGCGGACGGGUGAGUGAUGUAUGGGGACUGCCCGAUAGAGGGGGAUAACUCCGGGAAACGGUGGCUAAUACCGCAUACUGUCGGAAAACCCAUAUGGGAUUAGCUAGUAGGUAAGGUAAUGGCUUACCUAGGCGACGAUCCCUAGCUGGUCUGAGAGGAUGAUCAGCCUCACUGGAACUGAGACAAGGCCCAGACUCCUACGGAGUCAGCAGUGGGGAAUAGUGCACAAGGGGCGCAAGCCUGAUGCAGCCAGGCCGCGUGUAUGAAGAAGGCCCGAGGGUUGUAAAGUACUUUCAGUCGGGAGGCGUUACCGACAGAAGAAGCACCGGCUAACUCCGUGCCAGCCGCCGCGGUAAUAC
rnacentral:rRNA from 1 species